rnacentral:rRNA from 1 species
CCCUUAGACGUUCUGGGCCGCACGCGCGCUACACUGACCAGUGCAACAAGCAUCCGUCCUUGGCCGACAGGCCCGGGCAAUCUUUGAACGCUGGUCGUGAUGGGGAUAGACUUUUGCAAUUUUUGGUCUUCAACGAGGAAUUCCUAGUAAACGCAGGUCAUCAACUUGCAUUGAUUACGUCCCUGCCCUUUGUACACACCGCCCGUCGCACCUACCGAUUGAAUGGUCCGGUGAAGCCUCCGGAUUGGCGCGCACCCCGGUGCCGCCGAGAAGUUGGCUAAACCUUACCAUUUAGAGGAAGGUGAAGUCGUAACA